CAGCAGCCGCGGUAAUACGUAGGGUGCAAGCGUUGUCCGGAAUCAUUGGGCGUAAAGCGCGCGUAGGUGGCCAUUUAAGUCCGCUGUGAAAGUCAAAGGCUCAACCUUUGAAAGCCGGUGGAUACUGGAUGGCUAGAGUACGGAAGAGGCGAGUGGAAUUCCUGGUGUAGCGGUGGAAUGCGCAGAUAUCAGGAGGAACACCAAUAGCGAAGGCAGCUCGCUGGGACGUUACUGACACUGAGGCGCGAAAGCGUGGGGAGCGAACAGGAUUAGAUACCCCAGUAGUCCCUGUCUCUUAUAC
rnacentral:rRNA from 1 species